CUGAAAUUUUAAAAUUAUCCGAGUUGAUAGAGUGACGAUUGUGGGAACAUCUAACAUCUGUCAUUGCGUUCGUGUUUGUCUCUAUACGAUCAAUUUUUCUUGUUCGCUAAUUUAGUUGUGAUUCGACCUUUAAAGUGUCCCCACGCCGGAAGGCAACUGGUUGGAAAACGUGCAGCCCACGAGGCUCACCUUGGCCAUAGGACCCGUGCAUCCGCAGGGCCCUCGCAAUCCUGCACCGUCGGAAGAAGAACCUUUUCCUGCAUUGCAUCGAGAGAGACGAGGAGGGAUGAAGACUCCGGGAAGGAAAAUCUUGUACACCGCCUCGUGCUGACACCACCCCUCUUGAGGACGGAAGCGGAAACCCACCACCGUGUGGAAGGUCGUAUUGGCUCUCCGAAGGACCUUUAUGCAGAUCGCCAGCCAGCGAAUCAUACAAAUUGUAUCACUGUCCCCACGCCGGAAGGCAACUGGUUGGAAAACGUGCAGCCCACGAGGCUCACCUUGGCCAUAGGACCCGUGCAUCCGCAGGGCCCUCGCAAUCCUGCACCGUCGGAAGAAGAACCUUUUCCUGCAUUGCAUCGAGAGAGACGAGGAGGGAUGAAGACUCCGGGAAGGAAAAUCUUGUACACCGCCUCGUGCUGACACCACCCCUCUUGAGGACGGAAGCGGAAACCCACCACCGUGUGGAAGGUCGUAUUGGCUCUCCGAAGGACCUUUAUGCAGAUCGCCAGCCAGCGAAUCAUACAAAUUGUAUCACGUAAAUACUUAUUGUUGUCUGUCUCCUUCUAAAAUCUAUAAGGCGCCCAAAAAUCUUUUUCUAUUAAAAUAACGUAACUUCAAACUUCA